AUACAGAGGGUGCGAGCGUUGUUCGGAAUCACUGGGCGUAAAGGGCGCGCAGGCGGUUUGGUAAGUCAGAUGUGAAAGCCCACGGCUCAACCGUGGAAGUGCAUUUGAAACUGUCAGACUUGAGUACUAGAGGGGAAAGUGGAAUUCCCGGUGUAGAGGUGAAAUUCGUAGAUAUCGGGAGGAAUACCGGUGGCGAAGGCGACUUUCUGGCUAGAUACUGACGCUGAGGCGCGAAAGCGUGGGGAGCAAACAGGAUUAGAUACCCUAGUAGUCC
rnacentral:rRNA from 1 species